AUGGGCUGGAAUAUGGGAUAUGGGCUGGGAUAUGUGAUAUGGGGCUGGGCCAUCCGAUAUGGGGCUGGGCCAUGCGAUAUUAUUGUAGGCCAUGUUAUAUGAGGCUGGGCCGUGCUCUAUGGGGCCAGGGCAUGUGAUACGAAGCUAGGCCAUGCUGUAUUCUGGUCAGCCAUGCUAUGUGAAGCCAGGCCGUAUGAUAUUAUGCAUGGAAGGAGGGAGGUGGCGCAUGGCAGACAUGGCUCUGCCCCACGGCCCUCACAGGGCACUCGGGCUGCCCAGCCUGGGAGCGGCAGGCUGAGGGCACGGCUCAGGCUGUGCACCACUUCCUUGGGAGGAAAGGGUUAAAGGGUUCUUCACCCAGAGGAUGGUCGGGCACUGGAACGGGCUGCCCAGGGAUGUGGUCACAGCACCGAGCCUGAUUGCUCAAGAUUCGCGUGGACAGCAGCACAUGGAGGAUUCUUGGGCGUUCUGUGCAGGGCCAGGACUGGACUCGAUCCUUGCUCAGCUGUGCAGGUUCACAGGAUCACUGAGACAGAAUCACUGAGCUUCCUGAGCUGGAAUGGACCCAGGAUCACCAAAUGACUUAGGUUGCAAAAGGCCUCUGAGACCAUCAAGUCCAACCUAUACCCAGUGCCCCUGGUCAGCUACAUCAGGGCACUGAGUGCCACGGCCACACACCUCCCUGGGGCCACACAUUCCAAUGUCUCAUCACUCUUUCUGUGAAGAAAUUCCUCCUGAUACCCAAGUGCAGCUUAAGACUGUUGAGGAUCAAAGCCCAAUUCCUGUCCUGGCACAGGACGCCCCCAGCAAUCCCACCUUGUCCAAAGCUCCUUGAGCUCCAUCAGGCUCGCUGCCCUGAUCACUUUCCUGGGGAGCCUGUUCUGGUUCACCCAAGAGGUUUGGGAGCCCCACUUUGCUUCUCACAGCUGGUCUGACCACUGGCAGCAGCCACCCUCAACACGGGUUUUUAUCAGAUUAAUUAUUUUUUUCCUCUUCCAGGUUUUGCAGAACCUGGGUGGAAUUUAGGCCCCUUAGCCCAGUUUAUGUGGAUUUCUGUGGGGUCAAUGUCUAAGUCCUGCUAGUUACAAAGUCUUGUAAUAUCUCCAUGCUUAAUUUUUGGGGUAAAAGUGGCAAAUUCUGGUCCUUGUGGAAUACACUGAAGAACACAAUCAUGCUUUCCUUUAGAUGCAGUUAAAACCCGAGUCUUCUCUGUGUUCACGUUUGAAAACUGUGGGUUUGAGUUUGUACUUACUAUUCUAAUAAAAUAUCUGAAAUGAA